rfam:Enterobacter cloacae S611 EDP2.NODE_1914, whole genome shotgun sequence.
GAAUUUUGAUUAAUUCUCAGCUCCGGCUGAGACAACUGGAAG